ACUUUAAGUUAUAAUUUAAAGCAAUACCUGCUCAAUGUAAAUAUAAAUAGCCGCAGUUUACUGUGGUAAGGUAGCAUAAUCAUUAGCUUUUUAAUUAAAAGAUAGAAUGAAAGGUACAACGAAAUAUAAAUUUUCUCUAAAAAUUAUAAUAAAUUUAAAAUAAUAGUUAAAAUUCUUUUAAAAAUGAGAAAGGCGAUAAGACCCUAAUAAACUCAACAUUUUGUUGGGGCGGCACUAAUUAAAAAUACCUUAUUAUUAUAAUUUUAAACUAUCUAAUUAUAUUAAAUAAAGUUCCAUAGGGAUAACAGCGCAUUAUUUUUUUAAAGAUCAUAUAAAAAAAAAUAUUUACGACCUCGAUUUUG
rnacentral:rRNA from 1 species